rnacentral:lncRNA from 1 species
CCGCCCGGACAACUCCUUCCGCAAGUUCUCCUACCUGCCCUUCCUCCCCAGCCAGGGCGACUUCUACGACUGCCGGGUGGAGCACGGGGGGCUGCCCGAGCCCUUCACGAAGCACUGGGAAGCCCAGGUGCCCACCCCCAUCCCCGAGACCACAGAGACCCUGGUGUGCGCCCUGGGCCUGGCCAUGGGCAUCAUCGGCAUCAUCGCGGGCACCAUCCUCAUCAUCAAGGGGAUGAAGAUGAAUGCUGCCCGCAACCCGCGGGGCCCCUUGUAAACGCGGGGAGGAGCUGGGGCUCCUGAAUCCCCCAGGUGCCUUUGUGGGACCCACUCGCACACCCCCUCUGCGCUGCCCCGAGCGUCCCUGCUCCGUGCCCAUUGGUGCCAGCUGCUGUACUCAGACCACUGGCCCCGUAAUUGUGCUGAGUCAACCUGCUAGAGACUCAUCAGGGAGCCGGCCCCUUGGGCUCCCCACUUCUCCACACUCCUGUGCUGGGCUUAGGGGGGCACCUAUCCAGGGAGAGGGCUGCUGCCCCGUGGGGCUGGGAAUGGGGGUCACCCCUUGUUAGGGGGCAGCAGGGGACAGGGCUGCUGCCCUGUGGGGCUGGGAAUGGGGGUCAGCCCUUGUCAGGGGGCAGCAGGGCCCAUGGGGCUGAUCCAAACCCCAUUGCCGUCAUGGGGAAGGUUUCUCUUGACUCCAGCGGUUGCUGGAUUGGGCCCCAAGCCUGGCCCCUAUUGGCCAGAGGCUGCUGUCAGUCACCCCAGAUAAAGCCCCUCCAGCCAUUACCCAGAAGGCUUUGGGCCAGAUUCGGCCAUCCUGGGU